rnacentral:rRNA from 1 species
CUUACGCUAAUACCGCAUGCCGCCCGUUCGGGGGAAAGCCGGGGACCUUCGGGCCUGGCGCGAUUGGAUGAGCCCACGUCGGAUUAGCUAGUUGGCGGGGUAAAGGCCCACCAAGGCGACGAUCCGUAGCUGGUCUGAGAGGAUGAUCAGCCACACUGGAACUGAGACACGGUCCAGACUCCUACGGGAGGCAGCAGUAGGGAAUAUUGGACAAUGGGCGCAAGCCUGAUCCAGCCAUGCCGCGUGAGUGAAGAAGGCCCUCGGGUUGUAAAGCUCUUUUGUCCGGAAAGAAAAGCGCCGGGUUAAUACCCUGGUGUCCUGACGGUACCGGAAGAAUAAGCACCGGCUAACUUCGUG